UACGGGGGGGGCAAGCGUUGUUCGGAAUCACUGGGCGUAAAGGGCGCGUAGGCGGCCUGGUAAGUCGGGGGUGAAAGCCUGUGGCUCAACCACAGAAUUGCCUUCGAUACUGUUAGGCUUGAGACCGGAAGAGGUAAGUGGAACUGCGAGUGUAGAGGUGAAAUUCGUAGAUAUUCGCAAGAACACCAGUGGCGAAGGCGGCUUACUGGUCCGGUUCUGACGCUGAGGCACGAAAGCGUGGGGAUCAAACAGG
rnacentral:rRNA from 1 species